GGCUCCAUAGUGUAGUGGUUAGCACAUCUGCUUUACAUGCGGAAGUUCCUGGGUUUGCCUCCCAGGUGGAGCCA
rnacentral:tRNA from 1 species